rnacentral:tRNA from 1 species
GCGAGGGUAGCCAAGUGGUCAAAGGCGCAAGACUCAAGAUCUUGUNGGUUAGUCCNUUCGCCGGUUCGAAUCCGGUCCCUCGCA